GCGUGACGCUAGUUUCCGAUUUGUUGUGAUGGAUUGUGUCGCGACACGUGUUUGUUGUGGCGGGUUGAUCGAAGAAUGAGAUCUAUAAGAUUGAACCGCUGAAGAAAGAUCUGGAGUAUGCUGUCAAGAUUGGCAGGAAACCAGCGCAAUACGAGUGGGCACCUCCCCAUUCUGAGUGUGCUGAGUGGCUGGAAAUCCCAGCUGUGACUGCUGCGGGAGCAUGACUGCUGUCGGCUUGAACUGCACACCGUGGAUGCCUGGGGUAGAUUUGGAGCUAUGCCAGUAUUUGACUGAGGGCUUCGAAGUGUUGGGGCCUUGGAAGAUGUGACGCAGCCGUGUGAGGGACGGCCGGCCAUCCUUGAAAUCGACGAGAUCUUUCAGCUGGAUAUAGAAGACGCUAACAUACAUAGUAGGUGAAGGCACGAGAAAUACGCUUCUCCUAUGACAGAGGCGCCUUUUCCCUUUCUGUUUUUCAUAAGCGCUUUCACACGAAAGUGAAAAAAGUUUUGUGCUAUUUGUUAAAAAUGGCCAAAAACUGAACGCAAGGUCAUGUAGGUCAUAGUAGUCUUCUAGCCCAGUGAGAGUGCGUGCGAGACUGAGGGCUGUUGCCAAAUCAUAAUCAAGACAGAGCGCGGAGCGACUGUCCGCGUCUAUCGAGUGCGUCUCUUGCAAAUGGGCUAUAGGUCUGUGCAUGUACAUGUGAAGCUGCUCUGCGGUCGGCGCGAUUGGUUAUAAAUAAAUUGACUUGCAUUCAA